rnacentral:rRNA from 1 species
AGAGUUUGAUCCUGGCUCAGGAUGAACGCUGGCGGCGUGCUUAACACAUGCAAGUCGAACGAAGCACUUAAGAACGAUUCUUCGGAUGAAGUCUUUUGUGACUGAGUGGCGGACGGGUGAGUAACGCGUGGGUAACCUGCCUCACACAGGGGGAUAACAGUUGGAAACGACCGCUAAUACCGCAUAAGCCAACAGGGGCGCAUGCUCUGGUUGGAAAAGAUUUAUCGGUGUGAGAUGGACCCGCGUCUGAUUAGCCAGUUGGCAGGGUAACGGCCUACCAAAGCGACGAUCAGUAGCCGGCCUGAGAGGGUGAACGGCCACAUUGGGACUGAGACACGGCCCAAACUCCUACGGGAGGCAGCUGUGGGGAAUAUCGCACAAUGGGGGAAACCCUGAUGCAGCGACGCCGCGUGAGUGAAGAAGUAUUUCGGCAUGUAAAGCUCUAUCAGCAGGGAAGAAAAUGACGGUACCCUGACCCAAGAAUCCCCCGGUUAACUUACGUGCCCAGCACCCGCGGCAAUACGUAGGGGGCAAGCAUUAUCCGUAUUUUUUUGUGUGUAAAGAGAGCGUAGCCGGUGAUUCAAGUCAUAAGUGAAAGCCCGGGGCUCUACUCCGGGACUGUCUUUGAAAACUGUCCAACUGGAGGGGCGGGAGAGAUAAACGGAAUUCCCACUGUACUGGUGUAAAUGCCUCUAAUUUAACGAGGAAACCCCGUGGCGAAUUGCGGCUAAUCGCACUGAAACUGAUCCUUAGCUCUUCAAAGCGUGAGGAAUUCCGAAGGAUUUAAUCCCUUGUGUAUCUCUCCCCGUAAAAGAUGUAU